GGCAGUUUUGUCUGGGAUUGCUCCUGGUGUGUGCGCGCGCUCUUCACCUUCCUCCUGGAUCAGAUAAGGAGCAUGUCAAAGAGCCAGAGCCUUGAGCUGAGAAGGGCGGGGAGGUUCAGUCUGGGAGACAAUGAUGGGAAUGGCCGUGUCCUGUCAAGCGGUUAGAGGACCUUCGCUCCCGCCGCCUUUUGGAGUAAGGGUUGGGGGCGCCUGCCUCUUUCCUUGCCUUUCUGCCUCCCCUCCCACCCCACGCCUUUUUGCUUGGCUAAAGCGGCAGCCACAGAGCAGAGGGUCAGGCAGGUGAACAGCUCGAUGAUGGUUUGUUGUUGCGGGGAUGGAUGCUCUCGUUAGUCCCACCACACUCCCUCUUCCUCCGUCUCCCUGUGCAACAGGUAGAAAUGUCAAAAGCUGGGAAGAGCUUGCUGUUGCUGAGCUCAUGGCCACGAUGACGCUUUUGUUCUCCUGGGCUGGAUGACUUUCCAAAAGUGAAAGGAAAAAGUGUUCACCAAAAUCUGGUUUCCCGUCCCCAUCCCCCGCCGCCCCCCGGCGUUGCGCGGCUGGACUCAGUCUUUAUUCCAUUGACCAACUGCCGUAUGUAGUAUUAACACACCCGCAGUGAUAGAUGAGCAUCUUUCAGGGUAGAAAUCCUCCAGCUUGAAAGAAGGAACCCAACAUCCUUCAAAAGGAAACCAGGAGUCCCAUUCGAUUAGGGGAUGUGUUCAUUUUUUCUGCUGGAUCUAUUAUUAAAGCAGAACUUGGCAGUGUAGAAAAUAUGGAUGGUCCCUUUUGCCCCAGGAGCCGUGGUGCAAACUGCUCUGGCUGUGAUGGAAAAUUAAAAUAAUGGUAUGACUCAUGUCAGAACAGUGAACAAUGAUUUACGUUUGAGAGAGUCCGUAAUUAAGGGAUUUACAUGUGGAACUGUGAGCUGAAGUUCCUUCCUGUUGCAGAGCAGAUACCUGGGGAUAUCUCUUCAAUCAGUCGUUGAGCCUAAGAAAGUGUUGCUGACAUCACUGCCAUGAGAACUUCUCAGAUGAUGAGAUAGAUGAUGGAGACUUAGUGGAAAUAGCUUACACUGCCCAAAAGCAAAAUAAUUGAUGAGAAAUGCAGUGUGACAUCAAAUAUGUGCACCCCAGGAGCAGCUACAGAGAAGGCCAACCUCUGAGUCGCCACCAGACGUACCAGUGGUAACUGGAGAUGGACCUCCUCAAAUGACCUUAACAUGUGUGGGGAUCAUGCAGAAGGCGGCGCUCUCUGAGGAGCAGUCAGGAUGCAGCAAGCAACCAGAGGUGUAAGGGGCUCCUCCCAGUGAACAACAAAACUGGAUGCCUCUGAGGCCUUCCCUUCACAACUCUCUUUCUUAGGAUUCGAGCCAUGCUGUUUGGAAGGAGCGAUUUCGUCUUCUCUCAGAGCGAUGACGCUGCACCACUUUCGGCAUAUUCUGCUUCCCCCAUUUACCUGGGUGGCUGCUGUUGCUGCUGCCGGGGUUACUACUGCCUGCCUGCCUGCCUGCCUGCCUGCAUCUCAGCCUGGCUCAUACUAUGGGAGAAUCACUUGUCUGCACAUUAACGAAAAGACAUGAUGAAAUCUGGAUGCUACAUUUUGUUGUUGCUGCUGGAAAAGGAGGAAUGUGUGAUGCAAGGUUUUAUUUUUAUUUUUCCAACGGGUGAAAAUGUGAGUGGUUUGGGGAGCAAAUAUUUCAAGAAAUAACUAUGCCAGGUAAUCUGGUGUAUACAGCAAGGGCAUCGAUAGCAAUCCAGCCCGAAUGCCAAGAGCAUCCACAGGAAGAAUCCAGCCUCUGCUGCUUGAAGGGAUUAUUAUGGGGAAAGCCAUGGUGAUGCAGUGUUUCACCUCAGAGGAGCUGUGCUGGAGAUGGAUAAAUAAAGUAUCUGAUACGUGUGACUGUCAGAGCAUAGCCAUGGGAGGAAAAGCGUGGAAGGGAGCAAGCCAACAAAUAAAAAGGAACGAGAAAGGCUGCUUGCCGUUUGCCCGGCUCUGGAUUGCUCAUUCCAGCGACGGUGAUAAUGGCAUGAUUUACAGAAACAUGUCUGGAUGGAAGGACUCUAAAUGGUCUGAACACUCCCUAAUGCAGUUAUGGAGGAAACAAAAGGUGUAGGUGGCUGAAAACACACAAACACCUUGUGGGGGGAAAGAGAAGUGUACGAGUGUGUGUCUGUAUGUGGGCUUGAACAUAUGUGCAUUAUGAGAGAAAGAUUUCUGACUCGGGAAUGCAUAGGAAAUCUUUCAGGUUGCUGGAUCAUCCUGGUUUGUGGUGCGUAUUUUCAGCUACCGCUAUAUACGUGUUUUUCCAGAUUCAGUGCUUGCCUUUUCGAAAUGGGCAAAAUUCUGGAAAGCCUCUUAUUUCCUUUAACACCUUGAAGUGUUGAAUCUUCUAUACAGUCGAGGGAGGCACUGCGCUCUCUUUCUCUCUCUGUGCUGUCUUCAUCUUUAAGAUCUUUCUAAACACAGCUGCACUUGGUCUUGUGAAAAAUUCUAUAUUGUAAAUAGAAGUGUGGUCAGUCUAAUCAAAAUAAAUGAUCACAGAUGACUUUUGUAGCUCAGCUGGCAAUGCCUCAUUUUCAGAUGGUGCAGUGUUCAACCAAGAAGAAAUCAGCAAUGUAUUUACAUUUUUAAUGCAUCUCAAAGUCAGCCUGUAAUUUGAAAAAGGGGAGCUUAGAGUCCCACUGAAAAGGCUCAGUGCUCCAUUCUGGCAAGGACUUGCUCUGAAAUGCUCUCUGGUUAUUGUUCUGUUCUGUUUUAACAACUGCUGGACUUGUUAUAAUACAGCCAAAGAGCCAUCCUUAAUAUGGCAGACACUGCUGGAUUGCUCAGGGUGGUCAUCGUGCAAUGGGCCAAAUUAAUCUGAAGGAAGCAAAAGCUGCAGAUAAACGGAAGAAGCUUAGCAGCAUUUUAGCAGCUGCCUAUUUGGGGUGUGUGUGUGCGCACACAUGUGUGUGUUUAAAUCCAGAGACCAUAAAUUCAUCUUAAUGUGUAUCCAAGAUUUCCCAGCAGUCACAGUAACCUAUCUUGCAAGACGCCUGCCUACCCCUUGCACGAUUUGUUACCAAAGAGAAAACACUGUUUGUUGGAUUAUAUCUUAGCCAGCUGUUGGAGAACAGGAGAUCUUAUUACUCCUGAAGUGUAGUUUUUCUGUUUGUUUUAAAGAAAGAGAGAGAGAGAGAAAAAACCGUGGGGUUAGGAAAAUACAUUUUGCUCUGCUGGAGACGUGCACCUCUUCCUACAGUACUGUGCCUCCAACUCUGGUCUCAGACAUUUUAAAAGGAGGGAGAUGGCUGGCAAUGAGGGAGAGACUGGUAACUGAUGUAAAGCUGCAGAGACCAGCAAAAUGUCAGCAGCUUGUAAUUAGCUGCUCAUGGUUACGUCAGUGGCCAUAUCUUUCCAAGAAUAACUGUGAUGCAUGCCACAAAGUGAGGAAGAUAGUCGCAGGCUAGUUAUCAAGCUUGGUUCAAACAAGGGCAAAUGGAUUAAUGAAUGUGCUGUGUGUAUAAACCAAAUAUGGACGGAUUACGUGUUAUGAGGCUUGCUGAGUUCUGCAUAGUUGAGAAUGGAAUUAUAAAAUUGUUUCAGGAAGGGAGGUGUGAAGAGUACUUGCUAAGGAAGAAGUGUGAACCUUUUUUAAAAAAAUGCAGCCUGGUUGCCCCUAGCAAAUACCUUUGGCUCUCUGCAGGCUCCAUCUAGCACAUACAGCUGGCUGACAGGGACACGCCACAAAUGCAAAAGAGGGAGAAAAUGGCAAGGGCAGAUGUGAUGUUUGCCCUGAAACGAGAAUGCAAAGAAGCCCCCACUGAAUUAGCUUGCUGCCUCACAGUGUGCGUGCGUUUUGUGUUUUUCUUUUUUGCCAUACUCUUCAGCUGUAGUGUGAAAUGGCUUAUUAUCAGCCUUUUCCAUUUCAGCAUGGAGAAGGGGGGUUCAGAUUUGUCAGAUUCUGUACAGCAUUUUAAAUCCUAAGCAAAUCCUGCAAAAGCUUCCUUGGGAAUCUUUCAGGAGCUUACAAGCACACGGGCUCUGUUUUGGAUCUGCAUUCACAGUCCUGCCACAUGCAAGCAGUGAGGACCUGGGAGGUGCCUUCAGUGCUAUCCUGGCUUUUCUCUGCAAGCCUUUGCAACAUGCGGUUUGUAUUUCUCCCCUUCUGUUCGGCACUGCCCAAAUUGCUCCAAGCCUCUUCGGCUUCCCCAGCUUCCCAGAAGAAGUCAGCCUCAGUUCAGCUCUUGUUUAUUUAGUUCUUUUUAAUAAUAUGCCUAAAAUAGACGGCAUUGUGCAAACAUGGGCUGGGAAAACACACAUUUGUUUGGAGGGGAAGGCUGUGUGUGUAACACGAAACCAACAGCUCUUUUGUGUUGCCUGUAAUGCAGUUUAAACAUCCUUUAAUUACUCAAAGGCUUACAAAAGCUGACGUGCUAUGAGCCGUGCAUUUUAGAUGUGAGCCAAGUGCAUGUCAUGCCUGGAUCCAGAAUAGUGUUAUUCUGUGCAUCCAACUAGGUGGAAGGAUUUCAUUUGGUCUGCGUCUGAGUUCAAACAGCUGGUCAUUAAUGCAGGCCCCAUCUCCAGAGUGAAGCAGCCGUGGACGUGAAUGGCUGCCUGAUUAAGGCUGCCCCUCGGAGGCUCCUCCAUCCAGCAGCCUUGCUUGCAGCCGCAUAAUGCAGCCGGAUUGGAUGGUGCUCUAACAGGGUAGUAUGUCAUUGUGUCGCUGAGCAAUUGAGGUUAUUAUGGGGCAGGGCUGACAGACGGGACACUGGGGUUACUAGACCGUGGCAUUUUUAGAAAUACAGUCCUGACCUACUUAGAGUUAUUCUUGCUGGCUGGCAGCUGCAUGGUGCAUGGAGCAUCCUGAUAGGCUGUGGCUGUUGCUAGGGGGAAUUAGCAUGAAUUUUUCCACAUGCAGUUCUCUGUGUCUGAAUGAUAAAAGCUGACUGGAAUUAAAGAGAUUCCGUUCAGCAUUAUGUAGAUUUGUCUCCCUUAUUUCCUUGAAACAGAGAAAAGGAGCAAAAGACUAUUGAUUCUUUGACCCAUUUUUCUAGCCAGGGGAGGCAGCAUCUUGUUCUGUUUUCGUUUCUGAAAUGGUGGUGUCGAGGGAAAGGGAUCUUUAAGACAAGACAACUGCUUCUCUCUCUGAUUCACACUGGUUUGAGGCAGGCAUUCUCCCCAUCUUUCUCAUUUCCAAAGAGAAUGCACAACUCUUAUUCUGCAUUUUCCUCUAAGCAAAUGACUGAAUUCUUUUCUAAACAAACAAUCAGAGGUGGGUGGGUAGGUAGGUAGGUAGGAUGCUGAGUUUUGAAGCAUGUAUAUGCCAGCUUUUGUUACAUGACAUAAUCCUUAGCUAUUUUUAGUGAUGUCCAUUUAAUUAAUAGGUGGAGUUCAGUUCUCCCCACUUUAAUAUAUACACACAGAGAGAGACGGGGAUUUCUGCAAUGUUGCAUGUCAAGUUUAUGUGGAAAAUUCCUUCCCAGAAGCAUAAGCAUAUUGAACAUGCUCCCUCAAGGACUGCCAAUCUAUUUGAUAAGAUUUUCCCUGUCCCUGGGUUUAAAGAGAUCUUUAAAUGCUCACUUUGAAAUAAAUUUCUUUUAGAGAGCACUUGCUCUCUCCUGUUAAUGUUAGCAUUAUUUCUUCUGUUGUCAGCUCUGACUUUUGGGUGGCGAUACUACGCUCAUUGAAAGGGCAAAUAAAACACCACUGUCAA